CUCAUUUGUAACUCUUUAUUACGACGUAAUGAAACCGAACCAUUUUUGAAGAAGCUGAUAACUGGUGAUGAAAAUUGGAUCACGUACGACAAGAUAGUGCGAAAAAGGUCGUGGUCAAAGGCCGGUCACGCUUCACAGACUGUGGCGAAGCCCGGGUUAACUCGCAACAAGGUGAUGCUGUGUGUGUGGUGGGAUUGGAAGGGCAUUAUUCAUUAUGAGCUGUUACCACCAGGCAGGACCAUCGAUUCUGAACUCCACUGCGAACAAGUGAUGAGAUUAAAGCAAGAAGUUGAGAGAAAACGGCCGGAAUUAAACAAUAGAAGGGGUGUAGUUUUUCAUCAUGAUAACGCUAGGUCUCACACAUCUUUAGCCACUCAGCAAAAAUUAAGAGAGCUUGACUGGGAGGUGUUAAUGCAUCCGCCGUAUAGUCCUGGCCUUGCACCUUCAGAUUUCCACCUGUUUCGGUCUUUUCAGAAUUCUUUAGGCAGUGUCAGGUUAACUUCACGAGAGGACUGCCAAAACCAAUUGUCGCGGUAUUUUGAUCAGAAGCCCAAAGAUUUCUAUGUCUAGCAAAGGAAUCAUGUUCCUACCUACAAGAUGGCAAAAAGCUAUCGAACAAAAUGGUACUUACAUACUUUAGUAAAAUGUAAAUAAACUACAUUAAAGAAUGUUGUGAAUUUUCUUAAAAAAUGCGAAGAAACUUUUUCCCCAAUAUAUGGCAUGUUGUAUAUGGCAUGUUGUUACUAUGCAAAAAUAUUUCUUCAGCUAUUUUAACGGGGUAAACUUAAUUUAAGUUCAAUUAAAAACAUCGAAUCAUCAGUCUUCGAAAAUUCGCUGAUUUACGAAUAUGUAUUAUACAUAACUAGCCUUUCACCCAUCGAUAUUAUUUAUUAUAAUCAAUCACGUUUCAAAGAAAUUUGUUCUUUGAGGCACGUGCUACGUGAUAAUUUAAACAAUUCUAUUGGUAUUAUAAAAUGACGUGUCCAUCUGUAAUUGCUAUAGCAUUUAGUAAGUAAAUUGGGCUUCUAUUAAUAUGAAUGUUAUUUAAUGAUUUUCACCAACAGAUUCGUAAAAAGAACUUGAUUAUAAUUUACAUGGAAAAAAAAAACGUGUAUUACUUAUGGUAUCUAUUAUAAGCAUAUAGGGGUGAGUAUCACCACCCUGCCUAGGUUCCUUUGGUCAUCCGUCCUGGUUUAAAUGGUGGGACCACAGUUAUACUAUACAAUUGAUACUUGGACCACAAUUCUUAAGGUGAUUUUCGCGUUUAAGGUUUCGGCUGAGAAAUUAACAACAAGCGGGCCGUGUGAGUUCAUUAGCCCAUCUAUGGUCAAGAUAUAAAACGAGCAGCUAUUUAUUGAAUAACAAGAAGACAAACGGGUCACACGAAUUAAGGUUAAAAGUUUCUCAAUUAUUUGUGGCGAUUAAUGUGGCUAAUUGAAUAUAACUGAUAAGUGAAGAUUGUUUAUGUUUACUGCUAUGAAAAACAUUUAUGUAUUUAUUUGUAGAGCUUAGAUAAGCUUUCCAAAAUUCUGUAGGUGCGAUCCUACACCAUAACAUAAACAUAAAUUACUUCACUAGCCCAAAAACAGGUAAUUGUGUGACUAACACAUGUAUACAUGAAUAUUCUGAAUGUCUAUACUUUUUUGAGGAUCACUGUAUUACUCUCGAUAGUUUGUACCAUGUGAUAUACUUCACAUGAGCAUAUGUUUAUCAUUUUAUUACAAUACCAGAAAAUUAAAUAGAAAAGGGAUAAUAAAAAUAAAUAAUGAUUAUUAAAAUGAACAUUGUGAAUUCCAAAAUUAAAUUUAGUUCAAAAAAUUCGAAAACGAACGAAUGUAACCAUGUAUGUAUGUGUGCUUAAAUGAUAAAAAAACAAUAAAUACUUAUACACCCACAAGAAUUAGAUCUUUUGCAAACGUAGCUGAUCUGCUUAUAUUUGUCUCUUUCACACAAUCAAAUCUUAAGCUGGCUAAGAAAGAAUGUAAUAGAAAUAGCGAAUUAUGGUACUCACAUCGACGCUAUCAAAGUUGUCUUGAUCCGCGAACAUAUCCCAUUCGCUAUCUUUAUUAGACUUUUGCAGUUUGAUUGUGCUCUUAGAUUCGUUCUCGAUUUUCUUGAUGAGCGUUUCACUGCGUGUCUCCGUCCUAAUGUGUUUCCUUUCUUCUUUAUUCUUUUCCUUGUGGUCGUGUGACUUAUUUUUCGAAGUGGGCGACACAGAACGUUGGCUUUGCGGGCUAAACGGUGAAGCCGUUGCGUUUUGCGUGCGUUCCACGGUCGAAUUCCCUUCAGAUGUCGACUGAGUAUCGCAUCCAAGUUUCUGUUAUAACAUUAAACAUCAUAUUAAACAAUCUAGUUUAUAUCGAAACAUUUUCAUAAACUAUCUCAGUAAAAAAAGGGUACGUGUACUUAUGUACGCGCGUAAGAAGUUAUACUUUAUUUUUAUUAAAUUUUUUUCUUUUUUUUUUCUUUUAAUCAAUUUGAAAAAAAAUCGAUUAAACAACAUCCUCAAACACGCAUAUUGUACAUCCCUUUUCUUGACAUCGUAUAAAUUCUCGGUACGGUUUGGAAAGUUCACCUGCGGCUAUAUUCAGACUCGCCAAGUUACGUCGGUCGUAUUGUAAUGAGCGAUUUAGUGGGCAACUUCAUUCUGUUAAUUUUGUGUCAUGGUGCGCGCGCAUCGUAAAAUUUCACUCUCAUCAAUUUUUCAUAACGCGCCUAAAGAAGUAUAACUUCAAAAAAACAUUCAAUUUGUAUUGCAAUUAAUGUUGCCCGUUCAAAAUUUAUCAACAAGCAAUGUCGUUUAUCGACCCCUAUAAUAAGUUCUGGCAAAAGAUCGAUCUCAUAAUACAUCAUCAUAAACACUUAACCUUUAAUACGAAACAAAUUACUAUUUGAUAGAAAAUAAAAGAAACAACAAUAUCAAGUAAAGUCACUACAUAGUAUAAAACAAAGUCGCUUUCUCUGUCCCUAUAUCCCUAUAUAUGCUUACAUCUUUAAAAUUACGCAACGGAUUUUGAUGCGGUUUUUUUUAAUAGAUAGAGUGAUUGAAGAGGAUGGUUUAUAUGUAUAAUAACAUCCAUUAAAUAGUAGAGAAAUCAAUAAUAAAUUACAGUUUCCGAAGCGAAACGAGGGCGGGUCGCUAGUAAUUAAUAUUUUGAAUUUAAAUGUGAAAAUACCUUCAUGAGCUGCUCUCUCUGUUUGCGUCGUCGCUCGAUUAUCUGUUUCUCGGUCUCUUCUUCAUCAUCAUCAGUGUUUAUAUCGAUGUUCAACUCUUCAUCGCUAGAGCUGGGUAUCACGUGCGUGACAUCGGGGGUGCCCUGAAACCAAUAUACAAUAAUUGUUCUUAUACGAGUCACUUUGACAUUAUUUUUGGUGACAUUAUCGGCGUAGCACUAAUUGUACUUUAUGUGUUUUAAUUUCUCGUUGCUUUUAUUGUUUAGUAAGAGUUUAACUAAUUCAUGCUCGUAUUUUUAAGGAAUAUUGUUUUACACGAUUAAAUACGGGAAAGCAUUA